AUUAAAACUUUUAUACGUGUUGUUCUCCAUCAUCAUCUGGUACACGCGUAACUACGGAAAACAAAGGCGGUUUCUUAAUUUCAAUCUUACCGUUCCUAAUAACUGAUAAUAAUGUAAUGGUUUAGUUCAUAGGUAGUUUAUCACACUGGCGUAGAAUGGCUUCCUGCUUUUGUCUUUUGGUAAAGAAAUUCCCAACCUUGAAGCUUCCGAUUCGACAGUCUCUGGACCAACAAAAUGGACCAGAGACUUCUUGUGAACGCCAUCACAAAAGAAAUUACAGGCUGGAAUUGUAAGGUCCAGGUAGUAGACAGGUUUCGGCCUCGCCAGAGCAAAGACUCCUUCGUCCACUUCCAAACAAUACUCUUGCAAGAUGAAAGCGUAAGUUUUCCUGUCACAGGUUAUUCUAACUCUUUAAUGGUCAUUCGGGGUACAUUAUAAUAUUUCCGUUUCCUUAUUGUUGGUGCAUCUUGGUAGCGAUACGGUUGCUUCCGUUAUAUACCCUGCCUGCUAUACCUCCAUCUUGUGAACUCUUCUCUUCCCUUAUCAAGUAUAUCCGCAUUUGGUCAAAUAUUUCUUCCCAUUCUCAGGAAAAGCAGGUUUCCAUAGUACUAUACGGUGAUGGCAUUCCCAAAUAUGAGAAACUGUUUGUUCAUUUUCAAACAUAUUUGGUUUUUUUCGCGAAAGUUAGGGAUCCCCGUAUUUAUUCAAUACAAGCCGCUACGUAAGAAUGGGUGGUUGACAGAUACACAAUUGUUGUGCCCAUUACCAGAGACGCAUUGGAAGAACCUCUGCCUGUUCCAACAAAACUGGAUGCACUUUCAUUCUUGCAUAUUGAACACCAACAUCCAGGUGCUGAAUUUGAUUUACUGGCGGUGGUGGUUAAUUGCAGCGCCAUACAAUAUAUAGCUGACCAAAACAACAUUUCAGGGAAACGAAUGUGAUAGACCAGAGGUAAGUUACUCGACCCCUUACAUAGAGUUCACCAAAUCUCCUGGUUACUUGAUGAAACAUGCUUGCGUUGUAGUAAUUUAUGUGUCUGCUGUAUCGACCAGUAAGAAACCUUUUCUAUUUACUAUAUGGGAUGAUCUAGCAGACAAUGAAGGAGCGGCAUUAUUACACCACCUGCAUGAAUACCCCGUCAUUCUUGCCAAACGUAUAAGUGUUACUGAAUUUCGCUGUGCUCUAAGAUUGGCAACAAGAUAUCAAACGACAAUUUUAACAAAUCCUCAGGUGAAGCACAAUGAACAAAUGUUACUAUCUUACACUCUAAGAGGUUCAUCGUCAUCACCUUCCUUGCUGAAUCUAGAGCAUGUUGAAGAUCAAGUGGUAUCUAUAUCAGCCAUUACAGAGUUGUUAUCUACGGUGCAAACUUUCCCCGUGGAAGGCAGAAUAUCACUUCCGAACCACCCUAAAUCAUUUUACUUGCUCGCGUGCUCAACCUGCAAUCACUAUGUACAUCCCAAGACUAUAAAAACAGUUCAGUGCUUCAACUGUAACCUACAUCGGGUAUUGGUCACCAGGUAAGUGCUACUUUAAUCGCAAUAUCUAAUCUCUCCAACGUGCACUUUGUUGUUCCUCCGUCUAUCAAUUGAAAGGAUGUUAUCUACAAUUCCCUCACACUAACGUCAUAUAUUGCUGUGAAUUCUACUGCAAUCUGUUCAGCUGAAAACAGAAGGCAAAAAAAGCCAGUAGGUGUAAACGGAAAAAAUAACAAAACCAAAAGUGUAACAUCCUUACAUGUAUCCAUCUAUUUCGUGCACAUCCACCGAGAUGUUUCAGGUCUCUUGUUUAGGCAGGUUGUUGAAAGUUAAAUUGGGGAAGUUGAGCAAACUUAUCAUUAUGUUUCUGUAGAAAAUGUCUUAUGUCGAAAAUGUUUUAUAGUACGAAGUCAUUUUUCUGUAAUUUAGAUUAGGAAGUCGUUUCCUGCAUCAAUUUACAGUGUUUGUAGGGAAUAAAUAUGUAGCAUGUGAGAAUUACCUCAAGCGGAUUCUGAGGUAUGACAAUCCUGGUUUAGUCUUAGCAAGAACCAAUCCUGAGAAAAUAAUAUUAGUGUGCAAAUAUAUUCACUGCUUAAUAUUUUCCCCCAUGUCAAACAACUUCAGUGAAAUUAAGAUGGUUUGAUUACAAAGAGUGCUCAAGUAUCACUACCGCAUGGCAGAGUCAUGAAUUAUAAUAGUUCGUUGGUCUUUACCAAUCAUUAUUUGGACGAUCCAUGAAACUGGUGCCCCGAAACCAAUCGUGCAGUGCAUGGAUUCAUAUAAGCAACUAAAUGAAGCUUACAAAACAAAAACAUUAUGAUCUAUGAGGAAAACUAAGGCUUCACUAGAAAUUAUUUUUAAUCAAGAGACGUCACUGGAAAUUAUUUCCGGUUUAACUUGGAGAAAAUAUCAUUUCACGCAAAAGAAACGUCGACAUAGUUUUUGUUUUGACAGUGUUUUCUAUUUAACUAUUUUCCCAUUAAUGUGCAUCUAUCCCACAUAGUUUUUGUUUUGAUAGUGUUUUUGGUUUAACUAUUUCUCCAUUAAUGUGCAUCCAUCACACACAUCAUGUGCUCCACUCUUACAUAUAGAUCAUAUCCACAGGCGUCAAUGUGUAAUGCCAUUCAAGUUUACGAAAAUGUCAAGGAUGUUUUUGUCUUCUCUUCCGGCGUUAUCUCACCAAAUUGUAUGAAUACACUCAACAAAAAACAUUUUAAAUACUCUAGCUUGUUGUAACCUUCCCUUUGAAUUUAUCAGUGCCCACAGACAAGAUACUACCUUAGUUGGCUGUUUUGCUAUCUAAACAGAUGAUUUUAUUUGCUUUGUCAUAAAUUGGUCACAUAAAACGGUUCUAGCAAACACAAAAAAGCCAAACAGACACACUUAGGCAUGUCUACAUGUUAUGACUUCAUUCUGUAGAUGUUGACAUGCUUCUAAUUCGCCCUGCCGGUGUGCCACCACAGCUAAAACUUUUGUACUACUACUACUUACCUUUGUAAAAAAAAUAUCUGCCCAUGUAUUUUAACAUGGUUUUAUUUUAUUCACAGGUGCCACUUUGGCCUUGACAUCAUGGAUGUAACUGUUAGGGUUUUUGUCCUGAUUUUCUUACAAAAAUUGAGUUUUACUUUUUCUUGUAGGGAAAAUAAAAGUAAUCAUAAAUAAUUUUGCUUUUCCUGAAAGGAAAAUAUAAAACUUUUUCAUAUUUGACAAACCUCUUUCUUGAAGGAAAUGUUUUGGGCAUCUAUAAAUAAAAACUCCUCUUCUCAUACAAUAACAUAAUAGCAUCCACAAUGUAGUCUUUAAAGAGUCUUGUUUAGGUUUGUUUAAAGGUAGAUUUUCUCUCUCAUUAGUUUUUAUGUUUUUUAUAUUAGGUUUUAUAUAUAGGUCAAUUGGUCAAAUAAUAUAAUAAUAUUAAGUCUUUUAGUAUUGUUUUAUAUGUCUUCUGAAUUGUCACUAUAAUGGUUUACAACUAACAGCUUCCACAUGAUGCCCUCUCGAUUUCGAACCCAACAGCAACUGGCACAAUUACGGCAACCAUCUCUGAAGCGUUGGGAGAAAGAUUAUUGUCCCUAACUGCCGAACAAAUAUAUGAAUCUAUUGCAGCUCAGGUACAGAAUUACAUACCACUACCAAUGACGAAAACUCCUCCUCUUACCAUUAUCUUCUAUGGAUACAUAAAAAUACCAUGUUACACAUGCUCCUACUUAAUGUGAUAUGUUUUACUAGUUGCAUUUAGCAACAACCAUUCUCUGUUGCCCAUCUAAAUCACCAGCUCGCUCAUAACUGUUUAAGCUCCAGUUAAAAAAGCCAGUUUUCCAAUUUCCAGACCAAAAAUCUGGUAUGCUGGGUCUUGCGUCCUUCAAUGAAGUAGAAAGCUCAGUCCACGCAACAUCACUGUUACCCACGACUUCAACAGAGAUGGGUAAGAAGCAGAGAAUUGAACCACCCACACCAGCGAAAAUAAUUAGGGGGUCAGGUUGUGUGCCAUGUACAGCUAAAUUUUUGUUGCCUCUGCCAACUUCAUCACACGGUAUAGCAUGUACAGAUGCUUGCCUAUAACAACAUCUGAUCACAGGCUGCAUGAACAAACUUUCUGCGUUUUGCUGUUUGCAACCACAGUCUCCCAUGGCAGACGUACAUGUUCAUAGUUUUUGGUAUGUAAAUAGGUCAUAAGAAGAAUGAACUUUUAUGGUGAUAGUUUUUGCACGAGAUAUCUGUGUAUACUUUAAAUCUUACUUCUCGUACUUAACGAAAUAUGACAUUUCAAACA